GGGCGUGUGGCUCAGUUGGUAGAGCGUUCGCUUAGCAUUUCCUGGACCCUCCGAGGUCUGUCCGGUUGUGCGAAAGGUCCUGGGUUCGAUUCCCAGCUCGUCCA